AUCUCCCGUGAGGUUGUCCUCCCUGUCACCUCAUUGUAACCCCAGGUAGGAUCUCCAGUACCCAUGUACCUGUAACUCAGCUCUAUAGGAUGGUUUGGGGCAGAGGCAGGAGGACCACUGCUUUGGGGCUUGCUGCCUAAGAACCUAGCUCCAGGUUCAGCCAGAGACUCUUAAGGGACUAAGACAGAGGACCCCUGAUAUCCUCUGGCCUCUGCACUUCCAUGCAUAGGAGCACAUCCCCACCCAGGGCUUGUGUGCCUGUGUGUGUGCACAUAUACACAGAUCACUCUUGGAGCCAGGCAUGGAGGUGCAAACCUAUACUGUGUGUGUGUCAGGAGUUCAAGGUCAGCGUGGGCCACAUAGUAAGACUCUAUCAGGAAAUAAAACAAAGCAAAGCAUUCCACAAACACUGCUGGGCUGGGAGACCCAGCAGCACAGCUGGUGCAGUGGGUCAGAGCGUGCCAACAUCCAAGCAUGUCACUUUGGCAUGAGAGCUAUUUUGAGUUGAAGUCAACUGAGAAACAACAGCCGGAGGAGGGCCUAUCUCCCUCCCUCCCCCUUUCUGUCUGAAAGCAGGACAUAAAGGUCCCUUUGUAAACAUGUUUCCUUUCCUCUACCAAGGAGGGGGUGGGGCGUUGGAUAUUACUGGAGAUGGCAUUGACUUAACAAGCAUUACUAAAAUGACCUCAUCCCCCUCCCCCACCCCCAUUAGCCUUUCAGCAAUCAGCAUCCAACGCCUGCUCCUGACUCCUCAAAUCUCCACAAUGUAUCACAAUGUAUCACAAUGUAUCACAAUGUAUCACAAUGUAUCACUAUUAUUAUCAAUGCGGCUAAGUAAUCUCUCAGGAUUGCUGCUUCCUGUACGUUUUCUCUUCUCCUCUAAGAAAGCUCUAUGUCAUGUAAAAAAUGGUACUUAGUUUCAUAUGAAAUACCAAUGUCAUGCUUUUCCUUUAGUUAGUCUCUCUUUUGUCAUUUUAAUUUGUACCCCCCCCCAGUGUCUGACUAGAAGCAGACAGAUAAAAAAGCCUUUUUUUUUUCUCCUUAAAUUUUUGUUUUAUACAAUAUAUUCUGAUUACAGUUUCCUCUCCCGCAGGUCCCCACCCCACUCACCCAAAUCUACACCCUUUCUUUGUCUCUUUUAUUAAAAUGCAAAUAGGUGUCUAAAUAUUGAUGAUGAUAAGAUAAAAUAAAAACAAACCAGAAUAGGCCAAAACAUAUAAGCAGAAAAAAAAUAGCCAUCUUCCCCCCCAAAAAAAUCACAAGAAAAAAACAGAGGCGUGCUCUCUCUCUCUCCUCUCUUUCUCUCUCUCUCUCUCUCUCUCACACACACACAUACACACACACUCACAUUCACAGAAAACCCAUAAAAAUAAAAUUGAGGAUCAUAGUCUAUAAGCAAAAGAUCUGCAAAGUUAAAAAAGAAAUAGUGAAGACAAAGCAUUUUGAGACAAAAAAAAAAAAAAAAAAAAAAGAAAGAAAAAAAAAGAGAGAAAGAAAAGAAAAAUCCUGUAAGAUACCCUCCAGUUUGUUUUGUGUUGGCUGUUUAACACUAUGCAUGGGGCCUGCCCUUAAGUGUGGUUUAUAGACUCAGUGAGACUCUGUUGGAGAAAAUGAAUUUUUCCUCUUUGAAUGGUUCUUAAUUAGAGAUAGCUUCUGGGUUAGGUACUUGGGCUUGUGUCUCCUUUCCCUCUCAGCACUGGGACCCCGUCUGGCUUAGACCUGUUGCAGGCCUUGUGCAUGCUGCCAAGGUCUCUGGGAAUGCAUACGUUCAUCAGUUCUACCGUGUUGGGAAGGCCUUUUUUCUUUGGUGUCUUCCAUCUCCAUUGGCUUUUACAAUCUUGGCCUCAUUUUCCACGGAGCUCUCUGAGCCCAGAGGGGAGGGGUUUGAUGGAGACUUUUGGAACUAAAUGUUCCAAGGCCUCUCAUUCUCUGCACAUGUCUAGUGGUGGGCUUUUUGUUUCCAUCUACUGCAGGAGGCAGCUUCUCUGAUGAUGACUAAGUCACUGAUCUAUGAAUAUAGCAAAAUGUCACUAGGGUCAUUUUACUGCUGUGUUCCUUCAGCAGUACAGUGGUUUUUCCUUUAGGUUCAUGGCAUAUCUAGUCUCAGUUUCUUGGCCACCCAGGCAGUUUUGGACAUGGGUUUCAUCUCAUGGAAUAACAAUCAGAUAGUCAGUUAGUUACUUCAAUCAGACAGUGGGUUGGUUACUCCCACAACUUUUGUGCUAUUAUUGCACUGGUGUAUCUUGCAGGCAGGUCACAUGACAGAUGCAGAGUUUAUAGCUGGGUUGGUAUUGCAUAUAGUUUUUGCUCUACCUGCCUUUAGCUCUGGGGAGUGACUGUACUACCAGCCCCCACCCAUCUUCCUUUGAAUCCACAGAUAAAAUACACACACACACACACACACACACACACACAGAGUUAUAUGUUUUCAAUGCACCUUCUGACGAAAUUGCUGGGUGCUAAUCUUUCCCUCCUAGAAAAGCAUGCCCUUACCAAUUUCUUAUCUCUGUCUCUCCCAUCUGCCCUUAACUUCACUUGCUAAACUACUCUGACUACUUGCUGUAAGAGCAGUCUAUGUGGCCACUCUGUUUUGAGAUCUCACAUGGUUGCCUGGUUGUCAUCUCUCCAAGGCAUAGUGAACUCCCUUCUCCUUCCCUGUGUCUCUCUCUCUCCUCCAGGGACCUGGAAGUCCCGGAAGUCCUGCCUGUACCUUCCACCCAGCAAUUGGCCCAUGGCUUUCUUUACUGACAGAUCAAGAACCAAUUGGGGAGCAGGACUUUAUCAUCAGAACCUCCCCCUACAGGUUGGUGUUUACCUUUCUCUUCUGGUAUUAUGUAGAGUGCCUUCCAGAACCAUGAACACUAGUUAGUUGGGGUGAAGGCUCUAGGUAGGCAACAACUUGACUUCUCUGUGUUCAGUGAAUUAUGGAGGUCUCAUGGAGGUCUCAUCUUCAGCAAUAUGACUUUACCAUCAGUUUGUAGAGAGCACCCAAUACCUUGACAAUAGCUUGGGUUAUCUGAGGGCUUCUAUCGAACCCCCUUGGUAACAACUCAAUUAGAUAUAACCCAUUUCUAGAACUGGAGGCUUCAUUUGGUGAUGAGAGAUGUUCAGUGGGGCUCCAAUUCCCCUUGUUUGGUGACUCUGACUUAGAUUUUUUUCAUACAUAUAUAUAUUUAAAGCAGCUUCUAGUCUAUUAUGUUUUCAUAUGGCCUCUCAACUCUUAGUUUUAGCUGUCCUUUCUGUAUUCUCUUCCUUUCCAGACUCUUCCCUCCCCUUCCUAUUUGAUCCCCCUACUUCUAUUUCCCCUUCCUAGGGAGAGUCUUGCCACCCCAUUAGCCCCUGACUCUAUACCUAACCCCUGCUUAUGGAUUGUGGCCUGCUUAUCAAGACUUAACAGCUAAUGUCCACCAUAUAAGUGAAUAUAUACCAUAUUUAUUUUGGGGGGGGUCUAGGUUACUUCACUCAGGAUGACAUUUUUCUAACUCCAUCUAUUUACCUGUGAAUUUCAUGAUUUCAGUGUUUUCUCUUUUAAACAGCUGAGUAAUAUUCCAGUGUGUAAAUACAUUUUCUUUAUCCUUUCAUUUGUUGAUGAACAUCUAGGUGGUUUCCAAUUUCUGGCUUUUAUGAAUAGGGCAGCAAUGAACACGGAUGAGCAAGAGUCCCUGUGGUAGGAUGUAGAGAGCUUUGGGUAUAUGCCCAGAGGUAGUAUAGCUGGAUCUUGAGGUAGAACUGCUCCUAGCUUCCUUUGGAACUGUCUGCUAGUUUCCAUAGUGGCUGUACAAAUUUGCAAGUUCUCAGCAAUGAAUGAGUGUUUUCCCAUACCCUAAGUGCUUCUUAGCUAUUUAUUUCCUCUUUUGAAAACUCUGUUUAAAUUUAUACUCCAUUUUAAAAUUGGAUUAUUUAUUUUCUUGAAUCCAGUUCUUUUGAGUUCUUCAUAUAUUUUGGACAUUAAUCCUCUAUUGGAUGUGAGGUUGGUAAGAAUAGUUUCCCAUUCUGUAGGCUGCUCCUUUGUGUGAAUGACAGUGUCCAUUGCCCCACAGAAGCUUGUCAAUUUUAUGAGGUCCUGUUUAUUAAUUGUUCUUGGUGCCUGUACUAAGAAAUUCUGUUCAGACAGUCUUUCCUGUGCCUGUGAGUUCAAGGCUCUUCUCCACUUUCUUUUCUACCAGGCUCAGUGUAUCUGGCCCUUUGUUGAGGUCCUUGAUAUAUUUGGAGCAGAGUUUUAUUCAGGGUGGUAAAUAUGGAUCUAUUUGCACUCUUCUACAUGCAGGCAUCCAGUUUAAACAGCAGUUGUUGAAGAUGCUGUCUUUUCCAGUGUGUGUUUCUUUCUCAAAUAUCAUGUGUGCGUAAGUGUGUGAACUUAUCAUUUCUGGGUCCACAACUCCACUGAUCAAUGUGUUUGUUUUUAUGCCAAUACCAU
rnacentral:lncRNA from 1 species